rnacentral:rRNA from 1 species
AUGAAGCCGGGGGUGCCUAAUACAUGCAAGUCGAGCGAACAGAUAAGGAGCUUGCUCCUUUGACGUUAGCGGCGGACGGGUGAGUAACACGUGGGUAACCUACCUAUAAGACUGGGACAACUUCGGGAAACCGGAGCUAAUACCGGAUAAUAUGUUGAACCGCAUGGUUCAAUAGUGAAAGAUGGUUUUGCUAUCACUUAUAGAUGGACCCGCGCCGUAUUAGCUAGUUGGUGAGGUAACGGCUCACCAAGGCAACGAUACGUAGCCGACCUGAGAGGGUGAUCGGCCACACUGGAACUGAGACACGGUCCAGGCUCCUACGGGAGGCAGCAGUAGGGAAUCUUCCGCAAUGGGCGAAAGCCUGACGGAGCAACGCCGCGUGAGUGAUGAAGGUCUUAGGAUCGUAAAGCUCUGUUAUUAGGGAAGAACAAACGUGUAAGUAACUGUGCACGUCUUGACGGUACCUAAUCAGAAAGCCACGGCUAACUACGUGCCAGCAGCCGCGGUAAUACGUAGGUGGCAAGCGUUAUCCGGAAUUAUUGGGCGUAAAGCGCGCGUAGGCGGUUUUUAAGUCUGAUGUGAAAGCCCACGGUCAACCGUGGAGGGUCUUGGAAACUGGAAAACUUGAGUGCAGAAGAGGAACGUGGAAUUCCAUGUGUACGGUGAAUGCGCAGAGAUAUGGGAGGAACCACCAGUGGCGAAAGGCGAUUUUCUGGUCUGUACUGACGCUGAUGUGCGAAAGCGUGGGGAUCACCCGGAUUAGAUACCCUGGUAGUCCAGCCGGUAACGAUGAGUGCUAGUGUUAGGGGUUCC